AGAGUUUGAUCCUGGCUCAGGACGAACGCUGGCGGCAGGCUUAACACAUGCAAGUCGCACGAGAACAGGCCUUCGGGCCUUAGUAAAGUGGCGGACGGGUGAGUAACACGUAGACAACCUGCCCCAAAGCGAGGGAUAACUAUCGGAAACGGUAGCUGAUACCGCAUGCAGUCUUUACCGGGCAUCCGGUUUAGAUGAAAGCCUUCGGGCGCUUUGGGAUGGGUCUGCGGAGGAUUAGUUUGUUGGUAGGGUAAAGGCCUACCAAGACUACGAUCCAUAGCUGGUCUGAGAGGACGAUCAGCCACACUGGGACUGAGACACGGCCCAGACUCCUACGGGAGGCAGCAGUGGGGAAUCUUGGGCAAUGGGCGAAAGCCUGACCCAGCCAUGCCGCGUGGAGGAAGACACCCCUAUGGGGCGUAAACUCCUUUUGUGCAGGAAGAAGGCCUCGGUCACCGAGGUUUGACGGUACUGCACGAAUAAGCACCGGCUAACUCCGUGCCAGCAGCCGCGGUAAUACGGAGGGUGCAAGCGUUGUCCGGAAUCACUGGGUGUAAAGGGUGUGUAGGCGGGAUUGUAAGUCAGAGGUGAAAUCUUGCGGCUCAACCGUAAAAUUGCCUUUGAUACUGCAG
rnacentral:rRNA from 1 species